GGGGGGGGCAAGCGUUGUUCGGAAUUACUGGGCGUAAAGGGCUCGUAGGCGGCCAACUAAGUCGGACGUGAAAUCCCCAGGCUCAACCUGGGAACUGCGUCCGAUACUGGAUGGCUUGAAUUCGGGAGAGGGAUGCAGAAUUCCAGGUGUAGCGGUGAAAUGCGUAGAUAUCUGGAGGAAUACCGGUGGCGAAGGCGGCAUCCUGGACCGACAUUGACGCUGAUGAGCGAAAGCUAGGGGAGCAAACGGGAUUAGAUACCCCGGUAGUCCUAGCCCUAAACGAUGAAUGCUUGGUGUGACGGGUAUCGAUCCCUGUCGUGCCGAAGCUAACGCAUUAAGCAUUCCGCCUGGGGAGUACGGUCGCAAGGCUGAA
rnacentral:rRNA from 1 species